rnacentral:rRNA from 1 species
UCAGGAUGAACGCUAGCGGCAGGCUAACACAUGCAAGUCGAGGGGCAUCGGGAGUAGCAAUACUGCCGGCGACCGGCGCAAGGGUGCGUAACGCGUGAGCAACAUGCCCGUAUCAGGGGGAUAAUCCAUGGAAACGUGGUCUAAUACCCCAUAGUAAUUAUGUAAGGCAUCUUAUAUAAUUUAAAGCUUUGGUGGAUACGGAUUGGCUCGCGUGACAUUAGCUGGAUGGUAAGGUAACGGCUUACCAUGGCUACGAUGUCUAGGGGUUCUGAGAGGAAGGUCCCCCCACACUGGAACUGAGACACGGUCCAGACUCCUACGGGAGGCAGCAGUGAGGAAUAUUGGACAAUGGAUGGAAAUCUGAUCCAGCCAUGCCGCGUGCAGGAAAGACGGCCCUAUGGGUUGUAAACUGCUUUUGUAUGGGAGCAAUAAGGGCUAUGUGUAGUCCGAUGAGAGUACCAUACGAAUAAGCACCGGCUAACUCCGUGCCAGCCGCCGC